AUUGUGUUUAGUGCUCACAAUAAAUUACGAUCAUGUCCCUCCUUAGUUAUGGAUAAAUACCUUCCACUCCCUCCAAAACCAUUAUGAACACACAUUAUUCCCUUUUCCUGUCACCGACACUCCAGUCCUUAUCUCCCCUUUCCUUCCCAAAUCAUUCAUCAUUUGCUUGUCCAUGCAACACCCGCCAUGUAUUAGGCCUGCUCCCCCAUCAUAAUAUACCUGUCUCUAGAGGUGGACUUGCAACUCAUGGCCUGGCAUUGAUAAACGAAUAGCUUUUUUGUGUGAAGGACUCACAGAUCUCAAUUGUCCUAUUCAUCCAGAGCAUGCCAUGAAAUGAUUUUUACAGGUGUGAUAACAAAUAUCUCU